AACGAGCGCAACCCUUGUCCUUAGUUACCAGCACGUUAUGGUGGGCGACUCUAAGGAGACUGCCGGUGACAAACCGGAGGAAGUGGGGAUGACGUCAAGUCAUCAUGGCCCUUACGGCCUGGGCUACACACGUGCUACAAUGGUCGGUACAAAGGGUUGCCAAGCCGCGAGGUGGAGCUAAUCCCAUAAAACCGAUCGUAGUCCGGAUCGCAGUCUGCAACUCGACUGCGUGAAGUCGGAAUCGCUAGUAAUCGUGAAUCAGAAUGUCACGGUGAAUACGUUCCCGGGCCUU
rnacentral:rRNA from 1 species